ACACAAUCAACACAAUCAACACAAUCAUAUAUAAUAGUACAAAACGCAAAGUGUAAAGUGUGAAGCAAUACGAAUGACGACCAAGUCCACACGUUGACAGAUAUACGUACAAUCUACAACUAGUCCAAAAAAAAAAAAAAAACUUUAAAAAUAUCAACCAAAUUAACACACAAAAAUGAUCCCUAACUACUUGUACAUUAUCACCACGUUAGUCUUAUUAUUAAGCACAAUAAUGUGCGUAAUCGAAAAAAACAACAACAUUAGUCAUACAUCAAAAAAAAGCUUUAAAAAAAAAUGGUACAACUUAAAUAAAAUCGCAGGGAAUAAUCGUAUAAAGAAAAGAAUUGGAGUAAAAUUUAUCCAGAUAUCUGUUUUUAAUCCCAUUAUUCAAAGUAGAUUAAAUAUAAAACUUAAACCAAAUAAAGAUAGGAGUGAUGUAAAAUUACCUCAUGGGCAAACAAAAAUAUUAAAUCAUAUUAUUAAUAUUAAUAGUAAUGAAUUUUAUUUACAUGGAUUUACUCAUUUAUAUAGCGCAUUACAAAAUAUGUUAAAUAUGUAUUGUUAUCCUAAUGUAGCUUUAUGUUAUAAUGAUUUUAAUGAUUGUCAUUGUUAUGAAAAUAUAAAAUUAACAGUACCUGGCAUGAUGAGUGGUUGUUUGGAUAAUUGUGGUAACAUCAUCAGUUGUGAUAUGCAGAUUAAUAAUAAAGAGAUAAAAAAAAUAGAACCUGAAUAUAUAAAAACUCAAAUGAUAUUUACUUGUGUUGUAUCCCAGUAUCAACGUAAAUUAGAUCAUUUUUGUGGUGAAAAAAAAGUAUUUCGUUUUUAUAAAUCAAAAAGGUAUUGUAUACCUUACAAUAUAUUAGAUAUAACAAAACGUGAUGAAUAUUGCUUAUCAAGUAAUAUAAGUAUAAUAAAAUGUAAUGGUUUUAUUGCAGAUCCUUAUAUGAUAAAUGCAGAAGAAUAUAUAUUAACCUACAAUCCAAAGGAAAUGAGUCAAGUGACUAUGGGUAUAUCUUGUAAAGAAGAUAUAUAUAACCAUACUGUAUCUGAUCUUAAUUGUGUAAGUUAUACACAAAGUGGUAAAAAAUGUUUAUUUUGGUAUGAACCAGAAGUACAAAAUAUAAUAAAAACGGAUUAUUUGCAUAAUUUUUGUCGCAAUCCUGCAAAAUUGUCACAAAUAUAUUGUUAUGUGAAUAUCAGUGGA
rnacentral:lncRNA from 1 species